UAGUGUCAGAAAGAAGAAACGUUUAAAAGUUAACAUGAAAACAAUGUCCGCUCUAGCUCGUUGACACUCAAUUGAAAGAACUGACAAAAAAAGGUAACAAAUAACUUUGAUACUCACGUUCACGUAACGUUCUCCUUGCAAAAUUUCACCAACAAGCCGAAGCCACCACACACAACAGACGAAAUCCUAAGGUGGUGAUGGACGCCAGUCCAUCUUUUACACACUUCAACAACCACACAAAUUUACCAGUCCAACUUCUACUCUGAAGACAAUGCAGUGACAUUGGUUCAUGUGCCUUGUCUGCAAGUGAUUCCAGUCAUUUCAGCACCUGGGCAUCAGUGUUUAGUCAGUGAAUUGCUGAAAGGAAAAACACCCAGUUGGUUAGGUAAACCUGUCAGUUAUUCAGAAUGCUUUUCUAUUCACCGCAGCAUACUACAAGGCACUCCACUCCACACUACCAUAUCUGACAACAACAUUAUGUUACGAUGACCAUUGAUAAUUGGAGAGCAGCAUUGGAAUGUGACAGGUUGUCUGGGCUAAAAGCCCCGAAAAGCCCCCCAAGAUUUCUUUGGGGAAACUUCGUCUGCUCCUAAGCUACACAGUACACAACUACACAUCAUAAGUUACUUUAAAAAAUAAAAACAAAUUCAGAUUAGGA